AGCUACUGAUAAACUAUGGUUAGUGUGAGAGAAUCUGAGCAACUGAUAAACUAUGGUUAGUGUGAGAAUCUGUAGCU